GACGAACGCUGGCGGCGUGCUUAACACAUGCAAGUCGAACGGAAAGGCCUCUUUCGGGGGGUACUCGAGUGGCGAACGGGUGAGUAACACGUGAGUAACCUGCCCUUGACUUUGGGAUAACUUCAGAAAACUGGGGCUAAUACCGGAUAGGAGCUCCUGCUGCAUGGUGGGGGUUGGAAAGUUUCGGCGGUUGGGGAUGGACUCGCGGCUUAUCAGCUUGUUGGUGGGGUAGUGGCUUACCAAGGCUUUGACGGGUAGCCGGCCUGAGAGGGUGACCGGCCACAUUGGGACUGAGAUACGGCCCAGAAUCCUACGGGAGGCAGCAGUGGGGAAUAUUGCAAAAUGGGUGGAAGCCUGAUGCAGCAACGCCGGGUGCGGGAUGACGGCCUUCGGGUUGUAAACCGCUUUCGCUCAUGACGAAGCUUUGUGUGACGGUAGUGGGUAAAGAAGCACCGGCUAACUACGUG
rnacentral:rRNA from 1 species